rnacentral:ribozyme from 13 species
UUUCUAUUUUCUGUUUUCUAUUUUCUAUUUUUUUAUUCAUUAAUUAAAAAUCGGAGGGUGGUUAUUGAGAUGGGAGUGAGGGUAAGGGAGGUCGAGGUAAAAUCACCAAACUCAAGAAUAACAGUAUUCUUUUCUUGGGAAUCAUUCACAAGUUGGACAAUAACACGUUGUUCGUCCGAAUCAACAAAGGCAGCAAAGUGAACGUUGACAGACGUAGUUGAUUUU